AAACACAACACAUCAGUUUGUAGGUUUUGCGUGAGGGAAGGAAGGGCAAAAGAUAAUAAUAAUGCAAAGAUGGAUGUCAGAAUCUAGACCAGAGGUCUCCAAACUUGACAACUUUAAGACUUCUUUAGGAAUUCUGGAAGUUGAAGUCCA